GGACGCAGGAAGGUAGCCCCGCGUGGCGAUGGUUGUCCACGUUGAAGAGCGCAGGGCCGGGGAGUGGUAAGUCCGCCCCAUCAGUGCCCGAGGCUUGAUCGUGACCGCGUAUGCGGGAAGUAGGGUGAUCCUAUGCUGUCGAGAAAAGUUCCUAGCGAGGUUCUAGCCGCCCGUACCCCAAACCGACUCAGGUGGUUGGG
rnacentral:rRNA from 1 species